CUGUCACUGCAGACAGUCAGUAGUUGGUCUGGCAUAAGCAGAAAGUUUCAGAUCACCUCUUGGCUGUGAGUAGUG
rnacentral:pre_miRNA from 11 species